GACGAACGCUGGCGGCGUGCUUAACACAUGCAAGUCGAACGGAAAGGCCCCUUUGGGGGUACUCGAGUGGCGCACGGGUGAGUAACACGUGAGUAACCUGCCCUUGACUUCGGGAUAACUUCAGGAAACUGGGGCUAAUACCGGAUAGGAAUCCUUGCUGCAUGGUGGGGGUUGGAAAGCUUCGGCGGUUUUGGAUGGACUCGCGGCUUAUCAGCUUGUUGGUGGGGUAGUGGCUUACCAAGGCUUUGACGGGUAGCCGGCCUGAGAGGGCGACCGGCCACAUUGGGACUGAGAUACGGCCCAGACUCCUACGGGAGGCAGCAGUGGGGAAUAUUGCACAAUGGGCGGAAGCCUGAUGCAGAAACGCCGCGUGCGGGAUGACGGCCUUCGGGUUGUAAACCGCUUUCAGCAGGGGCGAAGCUUUUGUGACGGUACCUGCAGAAGAAGCACCGGCUAACUACGU
rnacentral:rRNA from 1 species